rnacentral:lncRNA from 10 species
CUGCCAUGUAAAAGACAUGCCUUUCACCUUCCACCAUGAUUGUGAGGCCUCCCCAGGAACCUGGAACUCCUAUACUCUUCCUGCAUUUUCAGUGACCUCACUGACUGGAAACUGGGCACCUCGUUCCUUCUCACAAGUGUCAUAAUACACCAUGAGGUGGUUGGGUCCCAUUUCCAGAACAACCAGAGUGACGUCUGAACAAUGCUCUCUAAACAAGAUCUUCAUGUCUGCUCCCAAAGAGGGUUGCUACAUUCUUAGCUUCCCUCAAUUUAAUUCUUUUAUGAUAAAAAGAAGGGUGAACAGAAAAUGUUCAGAGCAAUCAUCCUCUGAAAAUUCAUAUAAAUGACAGCAGAAAUACAAGAAGGAGAUUGGAUUUCAAUCCUCUUGGAAACAAUUGAUUUGGAAGUGGUCUGUGGUCUAAAGAUUUUGACAAAAUUUUAGGAGCAAGUAAAGAUGAUAUAAAUAUAUAAAGAGACAGAACAGAAGGGAGAUAGCCACAUUUCAGAAAACAUGGAGAAAUUAUACAAGUGAUUCUUCCCAGGAAAUUCUUCAGAAAUGUCCAAAGAAAAAAUUAUGGACUUACAAAUCUGACUGUGCGAUGACUGCAAAAUCCUCCUUUAUCUUCCUCUCCCUGACAUGCAUGCAAACACACACACACACACACACACACACACACACACCCUGAGAUUUGCAUCAUUUGUCUUUAGGCUAAAAUAAGGGAAAACAUUUCAAAAUGAUUUACCGAUUUUUUUAAAUGAUGGGCACAGUAACCAUAAUUAAGUCUUCCGUAUUUGGCAUUGGAAUGAAGGUAACGGGAUCAAACCCUUCUAUUUACUUCUCCUUACUCAUCCAAAGAUGCAGUCAACCA